rnacentral:rRNA from 1 species
AUUGAACGCUGGCGGCAUGCCUAACACAUGCAAGUCGAACGGCAGCAUGACCUAGCUUGCUAGGUUGAUGGCGAGUGGCGCACGGGUGAGUAAUGCGUAGGAAUAUGCCUUGAAGUGGGGGAUAACCUGGGGAAACUCAGGCUAAUACCGCAUGAGCUCUAAGGAGGAAAGCUGGGGACCGAAAGGCCUGGCGCUUCAAGAUUAGCCUACGUCCGAAUAGCUAGUUGGUAGGGUAAAGGCCUACCAAGGCGACGAUCGGUAGCUGGUCUGGGAGGAUGAUCAGCCACACUGGGACUGAGACACGGCCCAGACUCCUACGGGAGGUAGCAGUGGGGAAUAUUGGACAAUGGGGGCAACCCUGAUCCAGCGAUGCCGCGUGUGUGAAGAAGGCCUGCGGGUUGUAAAGCACUUUCAGUGGGGAGGAGGACUUGGAGGUUAAGAGCUACUAAGUUGGACGUUACCCACAGAAGAAGCACCGGCUAACUCCGUGCCAGCAGCCGCCGUAA